rnacentral:rRNA from 1 species
CCUACGGGAGGCAGCAGUGAGGAAUAUUGGUCAAUGGCCGGAAGGCUGAACCAGCCAUGCCGCGUGAAGGUCAGUGCCCUAUGGGCGUUAAACUUCUUUUGUGCGGGAGCAAUAAUGGUCACGUGUGGCCAGACGAGAGUACCGUACGAAUAAGCAUCGGCUAACUCCGUGCCAGCAGCCGCGGUAAUACGGGGGAUGCAAGCGUUAUCCGGAUUUAUUGGGUUUAAAGGGUGCGUAGGCUGGGAGGUAAGUCAGCGGUGAAAUGCCCCGGCUCAACGGGGUGAAGUGCCAUUGAUACUGGCUGGCUGGAAUGCGGAUGCCGUGGGAGGAAUGUGUGGUGUAGCGGUGAAAUGCAUAGAGAUCACACAGAACACCGAUUGCGAAGGCAUCUCACGAAUCCGCGAUUGACGCUGAUGCACGAAAGCGUGGGUAUCAAACAGGAUUAGAUACCCGAGUAGUC